AAUACACUGCUACAUUUUUAUAGGUACGUUUUGAUAUUUUGUAUUAGCUCAAGUUUAAAAGACUUGAAUUAUACCAUCUUUUUUCCACUCACAGAUUCAAUGGUUCUGCUGCAUUGCGAGGUUUUAAUCAAGCGGAUUGUUCGAAGUUCUUACAAUUCAUCACUGGUACAUCUAAAGUGCCGUUACAAGGUUUUGCUGCGUUAAAAGGCAUGAACGGCAUACAAAAGUUCUAAAUUCACAGAGAAGACAAGUUGACAGACAGGCUUUCAUUUGCACAUAUUUGUUUCAAUCAACUAGAUUUGCCAGUGUACGAGACGUAUGAUAAACUCUGAACAAAUCUACUCAAGUCGACUUACGAAUGCACCAAAGAAUUUGGAUUUGCAUAAGCUUACCAGAAUUUGCUCCUGUACAAUUUCGAUUUCAUGCGUUCAAUCGAUGAUAUUCUAGAGACCAAACUUAUGGUUGGAUCUUUACAGCCAGUGAUAACAUUCCGGACGUGCAAUGGCCUAUUGCUUGCAAAAUUUUUAACGUGCUUACAAAAAUUGUUAUACGCAAUGCUAUUUGUAAAACUAUCUUGUGAACGUAGCGAAUCACAGUGCUCUAAUUGCUAUAAUAUGUAUUAUUACACUUAUACGAUUUUAUAAAUACGAAAUAUAUAUUUUCAUUUUAUCAUACACAUUAACUCUCAUGUAAUUAAUGGACAAUAAUUUAUUCGUUAAUAUAUACGCUAAUAAAUACGCUGAUUUUAAAAUGCA
rnacentral:lncRNA from 13 species